rnacentral:snRNA from 1 species
AUACUUAUCUGGCAGGAGAGACAAGAAGGUGGUUCACCCAGGGAGAGGUUCAACCAUUGCACUGCAGCUGUCUGACCUCUGCCAAUCCAUAAAUGUGAGGAUCUCAGCUGCAUAAAUAUCUGAUAGGGGGGACUGUAUUCAUGUUCUCCCCUC